rnacentral:tRNA from 1 species
GCCCUGUAGCUGGAAGGUUCAAGCAAGCGACUCAUAAUCGCCAGACGGUGGUUCAAUUCCACCCAGGGUCACCA